ACGAACGCUGGCGGCGUGCUUAACACAUGCAAGUCGAACGGUGAAGCGCCUUCCUUUUUGGUGGGUGUGGAUGAGUGGCGAACGGGUGAGUAGCACGUGAGUAACCUGCCCCCUUCUUCUGGAUAACCGCAUGAAAGUGUGGCUAAUACGGGAUAUUCUGGGUCUGUCGCAUGAUGGGUCUGGGAAAGAUAUUGGUUCGGUGGGGGAUGGGCUCGCGGCCUAUCAGCUUGCUGGUGGGGUGAUGGCCUACCAAGGCGGUGACGGGUAGCCGGCCUGAGAGGGUGGCCGGUCACACUGGGACUGAGACACGGCCCAGACUGCUACGGGAGGCAGCAGUGGGGAAUAUUGCACGAUGGGCGCAAGCCUGAUGCAGCGUCGCCGCGUGAGGGAUGGAGGCCUUCGGGUUGUGAACCUCUUUCGCCAGUGAAGCAGGCCUGCCUCGUUUGUGGGUGGGUUGACGGUAGCUGGAUAAGAAGCGCCGGCUAACUACGUG
rnacentral:rRNA from 1 species